GGUACGGUGGCAUAUUGGUUAGCGCGUUGGAUUCUGGAUCGAGCAGUUCAGGUUCAAGCACUGGCUGGGGUCG